AUUGAACGCUGGCGGCAGGCCUAACACAUGCAAGUCGAGCGGAUGAAGGGAGCUUGCUCCUGGAUUCAGCGGCGGACGGGUGAGUAAUGCCUAGGAAUCUGCCUGGUAGUGGGGGAUAACGUCCGGAAACGGGCGCUAAUACCGCAUACGUCCUAGGGAGAAAGUGGGGGAUCUUCGGACCUCACGCUAUCAGAUGAGCCUAGGUCGGAUUAGCUAGUUGGUGGGGUAAAGGCCUACCAAGGCGACGAUCCGUAACUGGUCUGAGAGGAUGAUCAGUCACACUGGAACUGAGACACGGUCCAGACUCCUACGGGGGGCAGCAGUGGGGAAUAUUGGACAAAGGGCGAAAGCCUGAUCCAGCCAUGCCGCGUGUGUGAAGAAGGUCUUCGGAUUGUAAAGCACUUUAAGUUGGGAGGAAGGGCAGUAAGUUAAUACCUUGCUGUUUUGACGUUACCAACAGAAUAAGCACCGGCUAACUUCGUG
rnacentral:rRNA from 1 species